rnacentral:lncRNA from 1 species
UAACCCUUUGCUUACUCAAUUGUAGUUGCGGGGGAUCGGACCGUAAUCCACUCUACCAAGUUCAGCACCAGAAACCGCUGAACCAACUGACAACGAGUCUUAUUUUCAAUUUUUUUUUUGAAGGUUCUACAUCCGUUGGGUUAAGUGACCGGGUGAGGGUAACCAAACUUAGAAGGUGCAUUCCUUUAUUUUUUUCUUUUUUUUUUCCGGAACACUCACUUAUAUUCAUCGACUUCCCUGCGUAGAGUGUGUGUGAGAUGGUGCUGACUGCUGAAAUAAACUACUCAAGAGCUGUCAGAGAAUGAGAAUUUAAGGCUAAAACAUAAUAAAAAUUCAACUCAAUUUCCAUAUGCAGGAGACUUACGGUGUUAAAACAAUACCGAUCUUGUGAAUUUUUCUCAAGUCUCCGCAAACUCGACUCAAAGUA